GCCAGGUGUGGUGGCGCGUGCCUGUAAUCCCAGCUACUCAGGAGGCUGAGGCAGGAGAAUUGCUUGAACUCAGGAGGCAGAGGUUGCAGUGAGCUAAGAUCACACCACUGCACUCCAGCCUGGGUGACAGAGCAAGACUCUGUCUCAA
rnacentral:SRP_RNA from 1 species